AUUGAACGCUGGCGGCAGGCCUAACACAUGCAAGUCGAACGGUAACAGGAAGAAGCUUGCUUCUUUGCUGACGAGUGGCGGACGGGUGAGUAAUGUCUGGGAAACUGCCUGAUGGAGGGGGAUAACUACUGGAAACGUUAGCUAAUACCGCAUAACGUCGCAAGCCCAAAGAGGGGGACCUUCGGGCCUCUUGCCAUCGGAUGUGCCCAGAUGGGAUUAGCUAGUAGGUGGGGUAACGGCUCACCUAGGCGACGAUCCCUAGCUGGUCUGAGAGGAUGACCAGCCACACUGGAACUGAGACACGGUCCAGACUCCUACGGGAGGCAGCAGUGGGGAAUAUUGCACAAUGGGCGCAAGCCUGAUGCAGCCAUGCCGCGUGUAUGAAGAAGGCCUUCGGGUUGUAAAGUACUUUCAGCGGGGAGGAAGGGAGUAAAGUUAAUACCUGUGCUCAUUGACGUUACCCGCAGAAGAAGCACCGGCUAACUCCGUG
rnacentral:rRNA from 1 species